rnacentral:lncRNA from 1 species
AUCGUGCGAGUUCAUUGAACUUGGCCGCAUACUGUGCCACUGUCAUCUCCCCUUGUUUUAGUUCUAGGAACUUUACCUCCAUCCUAUUCUUCAUGCUCUUCGGGAAGUAAUUCUCGAAGAACAGAGUCUUAAACCUUUCCCAGGUUAUAAUCCCUUCUCCCGCUCUCUGUUGAUUUGCUUCACACCAGUAGUUUGCUUCACCCCUCAUCAUAUAUGUAGCGAACACGGUUUUCUGGUCUUCACCCACACGAGCAAUGGCAAAGGCUUUCUCCAUUUCCUUGAUCCACGUUUGCGCUACGAUAGGAUCGGUAGUACCUAUGAAUUCCGGAGGUCCUACACUUUUAAAGUCCUUGAAGUUUGCAACCGGAGCU